CGGAACGGGUGAGUAACGCGUGAGGAACCUGCCUCAAAGAGGGGGACAACAGUUGGAAACGACUGCUAAUACCGCAUAAGCCCACGGCUCGGCAUCGAGCAGAGGGAAAAGGAGUGAUCCGCUUUGAGAUGGCCUCGCGUCCGAUUAGCUAGUUGGUGAGGUAACGGCCCACCAAGGCAACGAUCGGUAGCCGGACUGAGAGGUUGAACGGCCACAUUGGGACUGAGACACGGCCCAG
rnacentral:rRNA from 1 species